rfam:Ciona savignyi cont_32120, whole genome shotgun sequence.
GGGGAUGUAGCUCAGUGGUAGAGCGCACGCUUUGCAUGUGUGAGGCCCCGGGUUCAAUCCCGCGGCAUCUCCA